rfam:Vigna angularis cultivar Jingnong 6 scaffold583_21, whole genome shotgun sequence.
UCACUUACCUGGGUGGGGUGUAUGGACUAUCAAUAAGGUCUAUCGCCUAGGAUUUUGACCUCCAUUGCACAUAGGAGGGGCAUUAUCCUAAGGUCUGUUCUAUGAACAGAGUCUACAUCAAAAUUUGUGGUAGUGGGGCUUGCGUGCGCGCCUCUUCUAA